GGGAAGGUGGCUCAGUGGUAGAGUGCUUGCCUUGCAUGCAUGAAGCCCUGGGUUCAGUUCCUCAGUACCCC
rnacentral:tRNA from 1 species